UACCUAAAAGCACGGUUAGUGGAUCAGG
rnacentral:sRNA from 1 species